GGGGGCCCGCACAAGCGGUGGAGCAUGUGGUUUAAUUCGAUGCAACGCGAAGAACCUUACCUGGUCUUGACAUCCACAGAACUUUCCAGAGAUGGAUUGGUGCCUUCGGGAACUGUGAGACAGGUGCUGCAUGGCUGUCGUCAGCUCGUGUUGUGAAAUGUUGGGUUAAGUCCCGCAACGAGCGCAACCCUUAUCCUUUGUUGCCAGCGGUCCGGCCGGGAACUCAAAGGAGACUGCCAGUGAUAAACUGGAGGAAGGUGGGGAUGACGUCAAGUCAUCAUGGCCCUUACGACCAGGGCUACACACGUGCU
rnacentral:rRNA from 1 species